ACUAAAAGUAGAGUGUGAGCCAACACAUUCAUAUAAAAUGCUGUGAAAACAUUCUAAGUCUUCUGAUUUUUCCUCCGUUGAGAGGAGAGGUAUGAACUGAUGUGUGGACGACACCGUUCCGACUAUUCAUCUUAUUACACCCAGACACAUACAAUCACGACAUUCAAUUACGUUUUUUUUUUCAAGGCUGCUUACGAGUGCUAUUUCGGGGUGGGGGGGGGGGGGGCUGUUGAUUGCUGACGUUUAGUACCAUGCCCUCAAACUUAAAUUUACAUUUACUAAGGAUUUAUACGUUUCUAAAAUGUACAUUAGAGAGUGGUAGCGACAUAAUAUAUUAUACAUAUUUUUAUGACAAUUAAUCUAAAGUAACCCAACUAGAGAAGCAAAACUCAAACCUCAGAUAUACCAAAACAUAGGCUUCGGGAGUCAGACCUGAGGAAAAAUAGCAGCACAUUGUGCUUACACUCUGGCAGAGCCUGCGACACUGAUGAUCCCAAACUAUAUUAGCACUUGUGUAGAGAGGUGAAAUCCUUAUGACCAUUAAAUGCCCAGGCAUUCGUUCCUUUUCCAUGAUGUGUUCCUUAGUUGUUGUUGUUUUUUUUUUGUCUUUGAGAGAAAUGAGAGAGGACGUGUUUGUAUAAUGUGU